UAGGGAAUCUUCGGCAAUGGGGGGAACCCUGACCGAGCAACGCCGCGUGAGUGAAGAAGGUUUUCGGAUCUUAAAGCUCUGUUGUUAAGGAAGAACGAGUGUGAGAAUGGAAAGUUCAUACUGUGACGGUACUUAACCAGAAAGGGACGGCUAACUACGUGCCAGCAGCCGCGGUAAUACGUAGGUCCCGAGCGUUGUCCGGAUUUAUUGGGCGUAAAGCGAGCGCAGGCGGUUAGAUAAGUCUGAAGUUAAAGGCAGUGGCUCAACCAUUGUAGGCUUUGGAAACUGUUUCGCUUGAGUGCAGAAAGGGAGAGUGGAAUUCCAUGUGUAGCGGUGAAAUGCGUAGAUAUAUGGAGGAACACCGGUGGCGAAAGCGGCUCUCUGGUCUGUAACUGACGCUGAGGCUCGAAAGCGUGGGUAGCAAACAGG
rnacentral:rRNA from 1 species